UACGGGGGGAGCAAGCGUUGUUCGGAUUUACUGGGCGUAAAGGGCGCGUAGGCGGUCAGCACAAGUCAGUUGUGAAAUCUCCGGGCUUAACUCGGAAAGGUCAACUGAUACUGUGCGACUAGAGUGCGGAAGGGGCAACUGGAAUUCUCGGUGUAGCGGUGAAAUGCGCAGAUAUCAGGAGGAACACCUGAGGUGAAGACGGGUUGCUGGGCUGACACUGACGCUGAGGCGCGAAAGCCAGGGGAGCAAACGGG
rnacentral:rRNA from 1 species